rnacentral:rRNA from 1 species
CCUACGGGCGGCAGCAGUGGGGAAUAUUGCACAAUGGGGGAAACCCUGAUGCAGCGACGCCGCGUGAGUGAAGAAGUAUUUCUGUACGUUAAGCCCUAUCAGCAGGGGAGAAAAUGUCGGUACGUGACUAAGAAGCGCCGGCUAAAUACGAGCCAGCAGCCGCGGUAAUACGUAGGGGGCAAGCGUUAUCCGGAUUUACUGGGUGUAAAGGGAGCGUAGACGGGAGCGCAAGUCGGGAGUGAAAUCCCAUGGCUUAACCCUGGAACUGCUUUGGAAACUGUGCAGCUAGAGUGCAGGAGAGGUAAGCGGAAUUCGUAGUGUAGCGGUGAAAUGCGUAGAUAUUAGGAGGAACACCAGUGGCGAAGGCGGCUUACUGGACUGUAACUGACGUUGAGGCUCGAAAGCGUGGGGAGCAAACAGGAUUAGAUACCCUAGUAGUC